CGGAGGGGGUUAGCGUUGUUCGGAAUGACUGGGCGUAAAGCGCGCGUAGGCGGAUCGGAAAGUUGGGGGUGAAAGCCCAGGGCUCAACCCUGGAAUUGCCUUCAAGACUCCCGGUCUUGAGUUCGAGAGAGGUGAGUGGAAUUCCGAGUGUAGAGGUGAAAUUCGUAGAUAUUCGGAGGAACACCAGUGGCGAAGGCGGCUCACUGGCUCGACACUGACGCUGAGGCGCGAAAGCGUGGGGAGCAAACAGGAUU
rnacentral:rRNA from 1 species